rnacentral:rRNA from 1 species
UCUUGCAAACUAAAGAUGGCGACCGGCGCACGGGUGAGUAACACGUAUCCAACCUGCCGAUAACUCGGGGAUAGCCUUUCGAAAGAAAGAUUAAUAUCCGAUAGUAUAUUAAAACCGCAUGGUUUUACUAUUAAAGAAUUUCGGUUAUCGAUGGGGAUGCGUUCCAUUAGUUUGUUGGCGGGGUAACGGCCCACCAAGACUACGAUGGAUAGGGGUUCUGAGAGGAAGGCCCCCCACAUUGGAACUGAGACACGGUCCAA